rnacentral:rRNA from 1 species
CCUACGGGGGGCAGCAGUGAGGAAUAUUGGUCAAUGGCCGAGAGGCUGAACCAGCCAAGUCGCGUGAGGGAAGACGGCCCUACGGGUUGUAAACCUCUUUUGUCGGGGAGCAAAGCGAACCACGUGUGGUUCAUUGAGAGUACCCGAAGAAAAAGCAUCGGCUAACUCCGUGCCAGCAGCCGCGGUAAUACGGAGGAUGCGAGCGUUAUCCGGAUUUAUUGGGUUUAAAGGGUGCGCAGGCGGAGGUGCAAGUCAGCGGUCAAAUUGCGGGGCUCAACCCCGUACUGCCGUUGAAACUGCAUCCCUUGAGUGCGCGAGAAGUACGCGGAAUGCGCGGUGUAGCGGUGAAAUGCAUAGAUAUCGCGCAGAACUCCGAUUGCGAAGGCAGCGUACCGGCGCCAGACUGACGCUGAGGCACGAAAGCGUGGGGAUCGAACAGGAUUAGAUACCCCAGUAGUC